rnacentral:tRNA from 1 species
GGGGUUAUAGCUCAGUGGUAGAGCACUUGCCUUGCAAGCAUGAGGCACUGGGUUUGAUACUCAGCCCCA